GACGAACGCUGGCGGCGUGCUUAACACAUGCAAGUCGAGCGGUAAGGCCCUUUCGGGGGUACACGAGCGGCGAACGGGUGAGUAACACGUGGGUGACCUGCCCUUAGCUCUGGGAUAAGCCUGGGAAACUGGGUCUAAUACCGGAUAUGACCUCAUGACUCAUGUUGUGGGGUGGAAAGCCUUGUGCGGCUAGGGAUGGGCCCGCGGCCUAUCAGCUUGUUGGCGGGGUAAUUGCCUACCAAGGCGACGACGGGUAGCCGGCCUGAGAGGGCGACCGGCCGCACUGGGACUGAGACACGGCCCAGACUCCUACGGGAGGCAGCAGUGGGGAAUCUUGCGCAAUGGGCGAAAGCCUGACGCAGCGACGCCGCGUGAGGGAUGACGGCCU
rnacentral:rRNA from 1 species